rnacentral:sRNA from 1 species
UGCAUCUGAAGUUUGUGAGGAUGAGAACCUCCGGGGGUAGAGGUUCGACUCGAGCGGAGCGAGAGAACGUUGCGUCAGCAACGGCCCGAAGG